GCAUGGGUGGCUUAGUUGGUAAAGCGUCCGAUUUUGGCUCAGGUCAUAAUCUCACGGUUUGUGAGUUUGAGUCUCACCUCAGGCU
rnacentral:tRNA from 1 species